rnacentral:rRNA from 1 species
UGCCUUACACAUGCAAGUCGAACGGUAACAGGUCUUCGGAUGCUGACGAGUGGCGAACGGGUGAGUAAUACAUCGGAACGUGCCCGAUCGUGGGGGAUAACGGAGCGAAAGCUUUGCUAAUACCGCAUACGAUCUACGGAUGAAAGCAGGGGACCGCAAGGCCUUGCGCGGACGGAGCGGCCGAUGGCAGAUUAGGUAGUUGGUGGGAUAAAAGCUUACCAAGCCGACGAUCUGUAGCUGGUCUGAGAGGACGACCAGCCACACUGGGACUGAGACACGGCCCAGACUCCUACGGGAGGCAGCAGUGGGGAAUUUUGGACAAUGGGCGAAAGCCUGAUCCAGCAAUGCCGCGUGCAGGAUGAAGGCC